GCUAGUAAUCGCAGAUCAGCAUGCUGUGGUGAAUACGUUCCCGGGUCUUGUACACACCGCCCGUCACACCAUGGGAGUCGGAAAUGCCCGAAGUCUGUGACCUAACCGGUAAGGGAGGAGCAGCCGAAGGCAGGUCGGAUGACUGGGGUGAAGUCGUAACAAGGUACC
rnacentral:rRNA from 1 species